AUUAAGUUCAACGUUUUUAACACUUCUUUUUAUGUGGAUGGCUGCUAAGGCAUAUCACCAUCAUUGUGAUCGGCUACCAGGGCUACGAAACAGCCGGAGUGGCUAAGCAAGCUGUCACGUUUUUUGGUCGUUAUAAUGUUGUAAUUUUGGAUUGUAAAAUCUCAUUGGCCAUCACUAUCUAUGUUAGUGAUGCGGAAAUCCUGGGUACAGCACAAAUCACAAAGGGGUUAAAUAUGUUUUGUUUUUUAUCUUACUUAAACAGUAAAGCAUAUGACCUUAACGGCUA